GGAGAAAUAGAGAGAGAGAGAGAGAGAGAGAGGGACAGAGAAAGUGCCAGUGAGAGCAGCAGGCACCCAGGCAGCUGGGCCAACUCAUCCAGCAGCUCCUCAGAGAAAAUCACCUCUAAUUGAAAAGCCUGCUCAUUAACCCAGUGGGUGUGCAGAGGCAAAUGCCUUCAACGUGUCACAGGCUGGGAACAGAGAACCGCUGUGCUUUGGCUUUGAAACACACACACACACAAUCAUGACGGCUGUCAAUGUAUAUGGAAACAGCCUUAAUACCACUGCUGAGACUAACACGCUGGGACUGGCACAGCCAUAAACAGCCCUCCUGUGUGGUAGGACUGCCAGGGUCUCAUUAUCAGUGGAGCAGUAUGUUACAGGUUGACUCCAUUCUGGAUCAAACAUGGGACCUGGGCUCUCCAAGGGCUAUUUCUCUAUUAUUUUGGCCAGUCAAUGUCUGCAACUGCCCUGGCUGUCUGCCUCUGGCUCUCCCUGUCCCUCCAUGUAAGGUGACAUUUAUAUCCCUGAUUUGUGCUGUGAGAGGUUGUGUCCUAUCAUGCAAGGCAAGAUCUAAUAGAGGCUUUUGUGUCCAUCAGAUGGCCUUGUCCCUCUGUGUUCCCUCUACACUAUGCCUCUUGAGCGCAGACACACACACACACACGUUUCUAUAUCUUACUAUACUUUGGGGACCAACAGUUGAUUCCCAUUCAAAAUCAUAUUUUCCCUAACCCUAAUUCCUAAACCUAACCACUAAAAAACUCCUAACCCUAAUUUUAACCCUAAACCUAACCCCUAAACCUGAAAUUGCCUUUUUACAAGGGAGGACUUCAGAAUUUUGGGGGGGUUUACUAUUAUUGUGAGCAUUUCUGGUACUCACACGUAUAGUACCAAUUGUGUGUACACACACACACACACACUGAACAAACACACAAAUACACACACACACACCAAAGACAAAGGUGGAUGGUAGAGAAGGAGACAGUGACAGGAAGGAGAGGUGGAGGGAAAGGAAGAUGGUAGAGAAGGAGACAGUGACAGGAAGGAGAGGUGGAGGGAAAGGAAGAUGGUAGAGAAGGAGACAGUGACAGGAAGGAGAGGUGGAGGGAAAGGAAGAUGGUAGAGAAGGAGACAGUGACAGGAAGGAGAGGUGGAGGGAAAGGAAGAUGGUAGAGAAGGAGACAGUGACAGGAAGGAGAGGUGGAGGGAAAGGAAGAUGGUAGAGAAGGAGACAGUGACAGGAAGGAGAGGUGGAGGGAAAGGAAGAUGGUAGAGAAGGAGACAGUGACAGGAAGGAGAGGUGGAGGGAAAGGAAGAUGGUAGAGAAGGAGACAGUGACAGGAAGGAGAGGUGGAGGGAAAGGAAGAUGGUAGAGAAGGAGACAGUGACAGGAAGGAGAGGUGGAGGGAAAGGAAGAUGGUAGAGAAGGAGACAGUGACAGGAAGGAGAGGUGGAGGGAAAGGAAGAUGGUAGAGAAGGAGACAGUGACAGGAAGGAGAGGUGGAGGGAAAGGAAGAUGGUAGAGAAGGAGACAGUGACAGGAAGGAGAGGUGGAGGGAAAGGAAGAUGGUAGAGAAGGAGACCAGCAGACCAGAGACCAAGAGUAGGCCCGUUGUCUACAAUGACCCAGGCCUUACUUACACAGGUCUCAGUGGUUUUCAGAAAUUCUUCCAAUAUGUAUCCCACAUUUUCCAGUUGUGAUGAAGAGUUGAUGCGGAUGCAAAUGUAUUUAAAUGUUGAUAAAGUACUAUGGUAUACACAGACAGUGAUCUACUUAGUCUUUUUGGGAGCAUGUUUGGACUCAAGUGGCUGUAUAGAUAGAGUGCUCCACCCUCUCGGUUUAGGAGUUGACAGCCUCUCCAUACUGGCUGCAUUUCAACCUAUUUCUCCAUUAGUUCAAAGGCUAUGUGAUGUUGCCUCACACCUGGAAGGAGAUAGCGGUGGGUUGUGCUCUCAAAGCACAGCCCGUCUGUCUGAUGGAGAGUACAGAUUAGAGGCCCCCUGUUCUGUUUUGAUCUACACAGUGGACAGUGCUCUUUAGUAUGUGGAGUGGUAGAUGGAUGGAUGCGCCAAUUGAGGCCUGCUAUGCCUUAGUGCCUUCAGAAAUAGACGGUGUGAAAUGCACCAUUAGCUGGACCCAGAGUCAUCUGAAAUAUCCCUGGUGUGUAUAUACAGUAUAAUGCUUUGUAGUGACUGGCUGGUUUUUUCUCUCCAUCAUAUCUGUCUGUCCAAAAACAUAACAAAAUGCAUUGGUACUUUUGUUAAAACAGAGAUAACUUUGUGGUAGACGUACACACCUGGCCAGACAUCCCUCUCCCUGAAAGCUGUUUUUAUCAGCAAAGGCUAUUUGCUCUUCAGCACCGUCCCACUGUUAAUAAUAGCUGAGGAUAAGUAAGCCAUUUGAAUAGGACUGAUAUAUUAACACUGAGAAAUCACAACAGUCACGUAACAAAUAAUGUAUUAACACUGGGAAAUCAUAACAGUCACAUAAUAGAUAAUGUAUUAACACUGGGAAAUCAUAACAGUCACAUAAUAAAUAAUGUGUUAACACUGAGAAAUCACAACAGUCACAUAAUAAAUAAUGUAUUAACACUGGGAAAUCAUAACAGUCACAUAAUAGAUAAUGUAUUAACACUGGGAAAUCAUAACAGUCACAUAAUAAAUAAUGUAUUAGCACUGGGAAAUCAACAGUCACAUAAUAGAUAAUGUAUUAACACUGGGAAAUCAUAACAGUCACAUAAUAGAUAAUGUAUUAACACUGGGAAAUCAUAACAGUCACAUAAUAAAUAAUGUAUUAGCACUGGGAAAUCAACAGUCACAUAAUAGAUAAUGUAUUAACACUGGGAAAUCAUAACAGUCACAUAAUAAAUAAUGUAUUAACACAGGGAAAUCAUAACAGUCACAUAAUAGAUCAUGUAUUAACACUGGGAAAUCACAACAGUCACGUAACAAAUAAUGUAUUAACACUGGGAAAUCACAACAGUCACGUAACAAAUAAUGUAUUAACACUGGGAAAUCAUAACAGUCACAUAAUAGAUAAUGUAUUAACACUGGGAAAUCAUAACAGUCACAUAAUAGAUCAUGUAUUAACACUGGGAAAUCACAACAGUCACAAUAGAUAAUGUAUUAACACUGGGAAAUCACAACAGUCACAAUAGAUAAUGUAUUAACACUGGGAAAUCACAACAGUCACAAUAUAUAAUGUAUUAACACUGGGAAAUCACAACAGUCACAAUAGAUCAUGUAUUAACACUGGGAAAUCACAACAGUCACAAUAGAUAAUGUAUUAACACUGGGAAAUCACAACAGUCACAAUAGAUAAUGUAUUGACACUGGGAAAUCACAACAGUCACAAUAGAUAAUGUAUUAACACUGGGAAAUCAUAACAGUCACAUAAUAGAUCAUGUAUUAACACUGGGAAAUCACAACAGUCACAAUAGAUCAUGUAUUAACACUGGGAAAUCACAACAGUCACAAUAGAUCAUGUAUUAACACUGGGAAAUCACAACAGUCACAAUAGAUAAUGUAUUAACACUGGGAAAUCACAACAGUCACAAUAGAUAAUGUAUUAACACUGGGAAAUCACAACAGUCACAAUAGAUCAUGUAUUAACACUGAGA